AUACGGAGGGUGCAAGCGUUAAUCGGAAUUACUGGGCGUAAAGCGCACGCAGGCGGUUUGUUAAGUCAGAUGUGAAAUCCCCGGGCUCAACCUGGGAACUGCAUCUGAUACUGGCAAGCUUGAGUCUCGUAGAGGGGGGUAGAAUUCCAGGUGUAGCGGUGAAAUGCGUAGAGAUCUGGAGGAAUACCGGUGGCGAAGGCGGCCCCCUGGACGAAGACUGACGCUCAGGUGCGAAAGCGUGGGGAGCAAAUAGGAUUAGAUACCCUGGUAGUCCGCGCCGUAAACGAUGUCGACUUGGAGGUUGUGCCCUUGAGGCGUGGCUUCCGGAGCUAACGCGUUAAGUCGACCGCCUGGGGAGUACGGCCGCAAGGUUAAAACUCAAAUGAAUUGACGGGGGCCCGCACAAGCGGUGGAGCAUGUGGUUUAAUUCGAUGCAACGCGAAGAACCUUACCUGGUCUUGACAUCCACAGAACUUUCCAGAGAUGGAUUGGUGCCUUCGGGAACUGUGAGACAGGUGCUGCAUGGCUGUCGCCAGCUCGUGUUGUGAAAUGUUGGGUUAAGUCCCGCAACGAGCGCAACCCUUAUCCUUUGUUGCCAGCGGUCCGGCCGGGAACUCAAAGGAGACUGCCAGUGAUAAACUGGAGGAAGGUGGGGAUGACGUCAAGUCAUCAUGGCCCUUACGACCAGGGCUACACACGUGCUACAAUGGCGCAUACAAAGAGAAGCGACCUCGCGAGAGCAAGCGGACCUCAUAAAGUGCGUCGUAGUCCGGAUUGGAGUCUGCAACUCGACUCCAUGAAGUCGGAAUCGCUAGUAAUCGUGGAUCAGAAUGCCACGGUGAAUACGUUCCCGGGCCUUGUACACACCGCCCGUCACACCAUGGGAGUGGGUUGCAAAAGAAGUAGGUAGCUUAACCUUCGGGAGGGCGCUUACCACUUUGUGAUUCAUGACUGGGGUG
rnacentral:rRNA from 1 species